CAGACAGUUGGAAUUCCACAACUGCGCCAACCUUCACAUGCGCACUUUCAGUGGUUACAUAAAUACGAGUUUAGAGAGCUCAGUUUUUAUUUCAAAAAUGUCUAGUAUGAUUUAAGUGCUGCGAUAAAUUUUUCUUGCCAAUUACCAAGAAUUGAAAGACAUACUUAAGUGCCAUGGAAUUGUCAGUGGGAGUAGUGACUUGGGAUGACAGGUACCACAGUAGCUUUUUGCAGCGUCAAAUAUAGAUACAAUAGAGCAGGAGAUAAGUAUUGAACUACAGUUUUGUACGAGUGUAAGCAUGAAAAUGGGCAGCAAUUAGAACCUGAUCUGAAUUUGUACUCUUCUAAGCCAAUAAUAAGAAUUACUACAAUUCUUACUAGUUCUACUACUAUAUAUAUCAAUCGAACACUGAAAUAACUCAUAUUUGUAUAUAUAGAGAAUUUUUUUUUUUUUAGAAAGAUGUGGAAUUUCUUAGAGUGAUAGCUGUCAAAGUAAAACACAAUAAUUAAAAUGUCCAAUCCACUCACAGUUAUACUAUAAUGCAAUAAAAUAUUCAACCUACAUAUAUGUAUUAGA